rnacentral:lncRNA from 1 species
UCCGAAGCACAAGCAUCAAAAAUGGGUUUUCUUCUGUUUUUAAUAUCACUGCAGAAAAUGAUAUUGACGUCAAUCGAGACAUCAUUAAUAAAUUCCUGUUUUCUUUUCCUCAUCCUCCUUGUUAUUUCUGGUUUAAUCUAGCCCUCUGAUCUGUAUAUAACAAUUCAAUAAUAUCAUAACACUUGAAAUUAUAUAAAAUAAAUAAAUAAAUAAGAGAUAAUAAAACAAAACAAAUAUGGACUCACCCUUUUCUAUCUUUUUCAAUACACAUUGAAAUAUAAAUAGAUUGUGGUACCAACUAGGUCUAUCUUUUUCAAUCCACAUUGAAAUAUAAAUAGAUUGUGGUACCAACUAGGAAAAUCCUAGUUGUUACCACUGAGGUAUUCUAUAAUCUCUCCUCUGAUGAGACAGUGGGAUGGCUUCUCCUCAUCCUCAU